rnacentral:rRNA from 1 species
CCCGGCGCAAGCGGUGGAGCAUGUGGUUUAAUUUCGACGCAACGCGAAGAACCUUACCAGCCCUUUGUACAUGUCCGACGGUUUCCAGAGAUGGAUUCUCCCUAGCAAUAGGUCGGAACACAGGUGCUGCAUGGCUGUCGUCAGCUCGUGUCGUGAGAUGUUGGGUUAAGUCCCGCAACGAGCGCAACCCUCGCCAUUAGUUGCCAUCAUUCAGUUGGGCACUCUAGUGGGACUGCCGGUGAUAAGCCGGAGGAAGUGGGGAUGACGUCAAGUCCUCAUGGCCCUUACGGGCUGGGCUACACACGUGCUACAAUGGCGGUGACAAUGGGCAGCUACCUAGCAAUAGGAUGCUAAUCUCAAAAAGCCGUCUCAGUUCGGAUUGGGGUCUGCAACUCGACCCCAUGAAGUCGGAGUCGCUAGUAAUCGCAGAUCAGCAACGCUGCGGUGAAUACGUUCCCGGGCCUU